CUACAGAGAGCGAACAAAAGACGUCACAGACAGAGGUUUGUGCUUUGACGUCUGUCAGGCAUGUUAAUGCUCGUGGGAAGUGAGCUCACAGAGACUGUGACUUAAGGACACCUCAACAAGCUAGAAAAGAGGAACUUUUCUGCAAGAGUGGGAUAUUGGGGAGGAGAACAAUAGAUUCAUUUCUGAUGGUGAUAUUGUGGUCACUGAAAGGACAUAAAGUUGGGCCUUCCCUUCAUGCAGAGUUGCAGUGGCGUAACUAAGGAGAUGCCUUCCUGGCUAUAGAAGGAAAAUUCUCCCUGAAAAUGUCAACCACCAUGAAGUGUGUGUUCCCAACAAUGGAUACUUUUCACAAGCGUUUCAUGCCACCAUGAGAAGAUCCUGAUUGGUGGUGCAUGUCAAUAUUUUUCCAGUGGUUUCAGGUAACAGUCACA